AAUUUUGUUCUACUUCAUUUGAUAACUAAAUGCACAUUCGGCAGACAUGUUUGCUAUCUUAAGAUAUACAAAACAAAUCUAAUAGGGUAAUAUCAAUACUUUACUAAUGUUUAUUAUUUAUAGAAAUAAUUGGUCUAUGUUGGCCAAUCUUUAAACAUCUUCUAAAUAAUCAACUUUAGUAUACCAAUGAUACAUUAUGUCUUUUUCAUUUAUAACUAUUAACAAUUCAUGGGCAACCCAAUAUUUUAAAUGUAAAAGCUUGAUGUCUAUGAAUUUUUCGGGUUUGGUCACUUUGAUGACUAACAAACUAACUAAUUCUUGUUAACUAUAGUCUAUAGCCAAUUCACCGGUAAUAUAUACUUUUGAAUUUAAUUUUUCUUAGCCAUGGAUGAGUCAUGGGUUAACAAGAUAAAGCAAAUAUAUAUACAUACAUACAUACAUAUAAGCACACUAUAACAAAAUGGAACUUAAGGAUAGAUGUUAAUCUAAAUCUUAGGACUUUAUGAUUUUUACAAACCUAAAAAAUAAAGGUAGUAUACGUACCUUGAUCCAUAGGUAUAGACUUGGAAACACAAUUUUCUAGAAGCCAAAUGAAGAAAUUGUAUCUCUCUCUCUUCCAUGCCCCUGAGCUGCUUUUUAUAGCAUGAAGAAAGGGCCAAUUUUCUUCAAUAAUUAAAAUUCUACUUUCCAUCAAAAUGCAAUUAUUUAUCAAACACUUCACUUACACUAAAGGAUCAACAACACCAGAAACACCCAAUAUUCAUCUAUGAUAUGCAAGAAUGGGAAAAUGAUAUAUGCAAGAAGAUUUUCAAAAUCCCAUAAACUGGUAAUUUCCUUAUUACACUAAAGUUUCCAUUUUGAAAAAUAAAUACAAUGGAAUUUUCAUUAGAGAUAGUUUAUCAUUAAAAGGUAUUAUCAAAAUACUUAAUAAUUUGAUGGAAAUAAAUUUAUUUGAAAAUGUUUCCCACAUAAAAUAUUUAUUGAUUGGAGUUGUUUAAGAUAAGGAGAAUUUUUUUUUGUAUGAAAAUAGAUUUUAAAAUUUGAUAGUAGAUAUUCUAUCAAAAUUUAUUUUUGGAAUAAAAUACUAUAAUAGAAAAUUUAAAAAUUUCAGGAUCACAUUAUCCUAUUAUACUAAAUUUUCAAUUAAGAAAUUAAUAUAUUUAAAAAAUUUCAAAGAAAAUAAUUUAUUUAUCAAGGUAAUUACUAACGUUUUAAAAGACUUAAUUCAUGCACUCAAAAUAUUAAGUGGGAGAAGGCCUUUGGAAAGGUCACAACCUUUGUUGUUGAACCCAUCUUGAUUUGGAUUCAUCACCAUCCCACUGAUGGGUUGUACCCUAUGGUGGAAGCAACCACCCCACGGAUGGGGUCUUCACUUGGUGACAUUGAUGUCAAGGUCAAGGGUUAUACACUUAACUUGGAUAUGAAGUGGUUGAAUCACUCAUCGCUAGUCCCACUUGCAUAGUCUAAGGACCAAACUUUAAGGUAUGUUGAUUUUUUGCUAAACUAUUGUUUGUCUUGAAUGCUCAAUUAUAUUAAAUGCAUGGUUGUUUUCUUUUUAUAGAUAUCAUGCUUGUUUGUUAUCACUUUCUUUCUCACAUUGAACUAAACCCAACUAUUCUUUUGGACUAAACAAAUAUUUUGGAUUUAGUAAAUAAUACCAUAGAAGCUAAUUGAAGUGAAGCUACCUAUUCCUUAUGAACAAACCUAGUAGGAAGAAAGAGUGGUAUAUUAAAUGUGAUAUAAGACGAAUAAGAAAACCAAGUCUUUCAUACUUGGAUCUUUGGAUAAUGUGUUGUCAUAACAACACAUAUCAUUACCAAGGAUUUUGAAUUAUCUUUUUAUUUUGUAAGGUUUAUUUGGUGCUAAGGGCAAGUUAGCUUCGAUAAGCUACCCCAAAGACUAUUAUGAACACUAAGUUUUAUAUGAUCAUAGAGAAGUUAUCAAAUUCCUUCGAGAUGGUUAAGAUGAUUCUCAAAGAUUAUAUAUGAAGAUGUUUAUAUGAGAGUCAAGGGUUCUUCAGGUUCUCCUAUCAAGAAAAAGAAGAACAUCAAAUUAAGAAAGUUUAGGAGAAUGAAUAAAAAAACAAGCUUAUAGGUGUAAGUGAUUUCUUUAUGCCCUUCUAGGACACUAGAAAGGGAGUGCCUAGUUUAACUAUGGAAAAAAGAAAGUACACAUUCUCAUUGUUGAAUGUACAACGAUGGAUUUCACCAAUUAGGGUGGAUAGAUUCUAGGAGAAGGUUGCAUGCUGAGAUUGUACUUACCUUAGUUUUAGUUGCAAAGUUAGUUGUGCAGAUAUUAUUAUUAUUAUUAUUAUUAUUAUUAUUAUGACUCUAUUAUCACUUUGCCAAGUAAUGAGAAUAGUCAUAUCUCACUAAAAGAAUGAAUUUAGCACCAAUCAAACAUCUAGCUUCUAAAGUGUAGGGGGCAUUUUGAUUAAAGGAUAUUUCAACCUAUGAAUCUUGUGUAGGUGGUAAAAUGAAACAUUGCUCUUAAACAAGUGAAAACUUUCAUUCCCUAGUUUAAAAGGGAAGCUAACAAUGUUAGGUUUUGGCAAAGAAAUUAAAUUGUGAGAAACUAACCACUUCUAGUAGGACUUUGUCUUGACUUCCCUCUAAGACAAAGUUUUCAUUUGGUUUUAUGGUUUAGAUCAUAAGGAAUCCUUUUCCUUUUGAACAAUGUCAUACAAAAUUGAUAAUCUUUGUAAUGAUACUUUAGUUUCUUAUAAACUAACAUUUAUCAUUCUUAUAUUCCUUCUUUUCAACUUUAAAAGACUCAUUGAUGACUUACAUGAUGAACUAAAUGAGAACGUUGUUGAUGCAACCUUCUUUUGCACAAACAUACUAGUCAAUUUAUUAAUAUUCCACUUAGAUAAUUCAUUUGAAGUAAUCGAUAUUAUUUUGGAAGCAAUGAAUUGAGUAUGAAUUGUGAUAGAAAACACUCAUGCACUUUCAUCCUUGAAUUCUUAGCGCUUUUGCUAGGUUUGUUGUUUCAAGGAUGUGCUCAUAUAUGCCACGUGAACUAUCAAAUUUCAUGUUGGUAAAUUUGGCCAUAUAUCUUAGCAAGAGACUUAUAAUUAGUUUAGAAUGUUUUUUGAAAAUUUUUAUCAAUUCCUUACCACUUUCAAUUUUAGGAAGAGUAGUCUUGAUAUUUGGUACAAAAUCACUAGCAUAAAAAUUAAACUUAAUGUGUUUGAGUUUUCGUAAACCUUAUGGAAGACCCUUUCUCCACUUCUAGCUUUCAAUCAACAAUAGCAAUAACUUUCUUAGUUGGAUGAAACUAGAUUUGUUCACAUUAGUAUUAGAAAUUUAAGUUAUUAAAUAAGGAAAUAGAAGAAACACCUAUGAGGAGAAACAAUAUUGAUAGGUACCGUAAAUUACAACAAAAUAUAUUAAAUUUAUGGUUUGGGUGCCAACUUUAAAACAUAAAACCAUAAAUUAGAUCCAAGGCAUAAAUCAAAAGAAAAAAAAUAAAAAUAAAAAUACAUAGAGCUCCACUUUGGAUGAUAAUGCAACACACAACAUUAAGCAUUGCGAUACAAAUUUUGUUCUACUUCAUUUGAUAACUAAAUGCACAUUCGGCAGACAUGUUUGCUAUCUUAAGAUAUACAAAACAAAUCUAAUAGGGUAAUAUCAAUACUUUACUAAUGUUUAUUAUUUAUAGAAAUAAUUGGUCUAUGUUGGCCAAUCUUUAAACAUCUUCUAAAUAAUCAACUUUAGUAUACCAAUGAUACAUUAUGUCUUUUUCAUUUAUAACUGUUAACAAUUCAUGGGCAACCCAAUAUUUUAUAUGUAAAAGCUUGAUGUCCAUGAAUUUUUCGGGUUUGGUCACUUUGAUGACUAACAAACUAACUAAUUCUUGUUAACUAUAGUCUAUAGCCAAUUCACCGGUAAUAUAUACUUUUGAAUUUAAUUUUUCUUAGCCAUGGAUGAGUCAUGGGUUAACAAGAUAAAGCAAAUAUAUAUACAUACAUACAUACAUAUAAGCACACUAUAACAAAAUGGAACUUAAGGAUAGAUGUUAAUCUAAAUCUUAGGACUUUAUGAUUUUUAUAAACCUAAAAAAUAAAGGUAGUAUACGUACCUUGAUCCAUAGGUAUAGACUUGGAAACACAAUUUUCUAGAAGCCAAAUGAAGAAAUUGUAUCUCUCUC
rnacentral:lncRNA from 1 species